AUACGUAGGGAGCGAGCGUUGUCCGGAAUUACUGGGCGUAAAGGGUGCGUAGGCGGCUAGGCAAGUCAGAUGUGAAAUCCCCGGGCUUAACUCGGGUGGUGCAUUUGAAACUGCUUAGCUUGAGUGCAGGAGAGGAAAGCGGAAUUCCUAGUGUAGCGGUGAAAUGCGUAGAUAUUAGGAGGAACACCAGUGGCGAAGGCGGCUUUCUGGACUGUAACUGACGCUGAGGCACGAAAGCGUGGGGAGCAAACAGGAUUAGAUACCCUGGUAGUCCACGCUGUAAACGAUGGAUACUAGGUGUGGGGGAGAUACAACCUCCGUGCCGGAGCAAACGCAAUAAGUAUCCCGCCUGGGGAGUACGGUCGCAAGGCUGAA
rnacentral:rRNA from 1 species